rnacentral:lncRNA from 1 species
CAACUAAUCAAAAUUGUUUCACUACAACUAUUUGAAGGGAACCAACUAUGAUUGAAACAAAUAAACUUACAAUGUCAUUACCUUGGAUCAAAGAAAGCCUCAAAACUUACCUCGCCCAUUGGAAGAUCAAGACAUGGUGUGCGAAGCAUAGUUGGAUGACGGCAACACCGCGUUGAUCGGCCGUGUACUCCAGAUCAAGCCCCAAGAACUUCUCAUGAUCCAUUGCGGCGUCAAGCCAUCGUUCCUUCAACUGUUCAAGAAAAUACGGCAUCUCCCUGCUCUCGUUCGUGUACACGACAUCGAGCAUGGUCUUGCCAUGUGCGAGCACCUCUCCAAAGCGAGUUGGCAUGGUGGAAGAAGAGAAGGGAAGAAGAG